CACGUAGGCGGCGCUCUAAGUCAGGUGUGAAAUCCCCCGGCUCAACCGGGGAACUGCACCUGAUACUGGGGCGCUCGAGGACGGUAGGGGUGAGUGGAACUCCAGGUGGAGCGGUGAAAUGCGUAGAUAUCUGGAGGAACACCGGUGGCGAAAGCGGCUCACUGGACCGUCUCUGACGCUGAGGUGCGAAAGCUAGGGUAGCAAACG
rnacentral:rRNA from 1 species